rnacentral:lncRNA from 1 species
GUUCUUCCAAGAACCCAUAGGAUGUGGGGUUCAUCGAGGAACCUCCUUAGUUGGUGGAGGUUCUUGCAGAAACCUAACUGCCCAACUGAAAUGUUUGGAUUUGAAUUUGAAAGGAUAGCAGGUGCAGGCACUUAACUGAAAAAUGUAAAGAUCUCCUCAAUUUACGAAAAAGGACAAUUCAAUGGAUAUCAAUCAACAAAGAGGUAUACAGACGAGGAGGCAUACAAAGAUAUGUCAAUCGGUAAUGGUGUGUACCAUCCUCCUCCCUUACCACUUCAAUGAAAAUCCCAUAAGCUUCUACAUUAUGGACAAGACACUCCCUACACCUCUGAUGAAUAUAACAGGAAACCUGUUUGGUCAACAUGCAGUGCAAAAUCAUUCUGGCUGUGGAUACGGAGAACAUCAACACACCAGAGGAUAUAUCCAUUGGACUUGGGGCUCUACUGGGAGUUUACCUCAUAUUUAGAUGUAUUUAUUCUUCUUUGCCACUAAAAUAAUAAUAAACACUGACAACUAAAAUAUUGUGUUUUUGUUAUGUGUAUUAUUAUUACUUAUAAUAAC